GUCUGUGUGUGUGUGUGUGUGUUUGUGUGUGUGUGUGUGUGCUGCAGUGUGUCCCUGUGUGUGUAACAACCAUAGUGUGUGUGUGCGCUGUGUACGAGCCUAGGAGCAUUUUACUAAUUAUCUGUU